GCUACGCGUCGCUCAAGAGCGUGAACAAGUGUCGACAAUGUUCAUACGCUUUCGGCGCGUUUGUCUUGCGGAGCGGGGAGCGAUCGAAAUGGCUGAUGUGUUCGUCAAGAAAAAACUAGAAGAUUGGAGUUUUCAUCGAACUUUGAAACGAACCUUUCGAGAGAUAUGGUAUCUCCAACAUUAUCACAUUGCUGAAGGUUGUAAAGGCCAAAAAUAACAAAGAUAUUUAUUUAAUAUUUGAUUUUAUGGGUAUAUGAAUUACAUUUUCGCAAAGAAGACAUUCUUCAUGAAGCAGAAUUCUUCGAUGAAAAGUCGAUGAGACUUCUAAAGAGUGAAAUAUUUGGUAUGUCCCACAAUGACUCAAAUGCUGCAUCCAGUGCUUUCACAUUUAUGAUCCAAAGUUUAUUGUCUCCGUACAAAGAUGUGGCACAUAUUUUGCCACUGCGUAGCAUAGAUGCUGACGAUUUCCAUUCAUAUAUAAAAAAAAUCUUGAUUGGUUUAGCUGCCAUAGGGUUUAAUGUCAUAUCAGUAGCCACUGACAAUAAUGCUAUUAAUAAAAAGGCCGUUAGUAUGUUUGCCUCUCCCCUUGAGUCGUGGGUUAGGUAUGAUUAUCCUGGAAGUCCAGGAAAAUAUUUCUAUUUUUCUUUUGAUUCCGUUUAUUUGAUUCCGUUCAUAUUUUUACAGACUACAUUCAGAUUCUUUGCAAGUGGUGGUCAAUAAUGAAUGUGAAAACUUUGUAUAAGGGUGAGCAUAAAAGGGAUGAGUUCCAAACGCCUCUCACACCAAAUACUGACACAGCUCAGUAUAAGUUCUUAACUAACUUUAUUAAUUGGUUAGACAAAUGGGAGGAAAUGAAUUGUACAACUGGUGGAUUAACAAAGCAAACCCAUCUAGCCAUAAGCCAUACUACAAAAGCUAUGCUUGCUCUUGCAGAGUACUGUUUUAAAACUUUAAAUUUCGAUUAUUUUUUACCAGGGAAAAUACAGACUCAUUAGAAGACAGAUUUGGGUCUUACCGUACAUUGGCAGGGUCAAAUUACAAUGUCAGUAUACGUCAAAUUUAUGACACUGAAACAAAAUUGAGAAUGCAAACAAUUUUACCCCUUGUGUUAAAAUUGAAAAGUUGUGGAGAAUUGUUACUAAGUUUUUUUCAGGACAAACAUUGGGAUGAAGAUGAAGAUAGCUCAGAUUCAUAUCCUUUUUUUAAUGGUUUUCUAAUCACUCCGGAAGAAAUGGUAAGUACUCAAUCGAGUUUGCCAAUUUUAACAUACAUUAGUGGAUAUGCAGCUCAUAAAGUUCUAUUGAAACUAAAGUGUGAACAAUGUCGAUCAACUUUAUGCAUUGAUAAGCCCCUUGACACAGAUGUAAACAAUGAUUGGAUAUCAAAAUUAGACAGCGGAGGGUUGAAAUACCCACAUCCCGAAGUUGUUUGUGUUUCUCAAUUCACAUAUGUAGUUGUAAACAAAUUGUUGUCAACACAUUUUGAAUCAAAUUUUAUCAGUUGUCAAAAUCACAGAAAGGUUGUAAAAUAUUUAACUCUUGAUGUACUGGAUGAAAAUGAUAUUUCUCUAGGUAUCGAUGAAUGUGAGAGUCAUGAUUCUCUGUUUCUUGUAAAACAAAUUGUAUGGGUUUUCAUUAAUAUAUUUUUGAACAACUUUUGCAAAAAACAAAAUGAUUCUCUUCAAAAAAUGAAAAAAGAUCAAAAAGAAAAAAAUACACUGAAAAAAUUUAAGAAAGAUGCACGUAAAUUGUCCACACUAAAUAAAUAAGCAAUUUUAUAUUGUUUCUAUGAGUUAUCUUUUAAAAUGUAAAAGUUUGACUGAAUUAUCCUAAACUAUUUUUAAAUUACAACCUAGGGAAUAGGUGGAAACACUAUGAUGUACCUUGCCGAUUAUUGUCAAGGUUGCCACGCCACAGGGAAACCUGAAGAAACAGGGAAAACAUAGGGAAUUCAAAUAUAUGUAUAUAUAUAUAUAUAUAUAUAAAGAACUGACCAUCCAGCGAAUUUCAAAAAUUUCCUCAAAAACCUGGAAAAUACAGGGAAUUUUUUUCUUCUUAAAUUGAAGUUGCGAAAAUCAAUUUCCUAAUAUAUAAACUGCCAAAAAACAAAUAAAUUACUAGUAAUAAUUAUAAUGAUAAUAUUAAUAAAGUAAAAUAAAAAAUGGCAAUUUUGCUUAAGUUUUUAUUUUCAAGUUAAAUAUUAAAAUAUUCAUCAUAAAAAUAGAUUCUUGAAUUUCAUGAUAAUUUUGAGUGUAUGAAAUUAGUCGUCAAUAAUCUUUAUUCUGGAUCACUUACACACUUUUAGGUCCAUGUAAUGAAUGGUCAAAAGAAGUUUUUUUUUUUUUUUUUGAGUAAAAAGUUGAAUAUAUUCAAUCACCAUGCUAUUAUUUCAGUUAUUAUGAAUUCUUAUUUAUUUUCCCUUACUUAUUUAGAUUUUUUUUAAAAAACCUGUGGUGAAAUUAUCAAGAUAUUUAUGUUCUUUUUCAAAUAUCAGUGUCCGCUUGUUUAUAAUGUUUCAUUUUCAUGCAGGGAAAUCAUAGGGAAUUUUUCUUGCAAAAUUGAUUAGCAACCCUGAUUGUGAAAGUGUGCAGAAUUUUAAUUUCUAAUUAGUUAUGGACAAUGAAGUUUCUUAAUGUAUUGUACAAAGAGAAAUGAACAUCUUCUUAAACCCUUAAAAAAAAAAAAAAAACUGAAUUUUUCUAUUUUAUUUAAUAAUUUUAAGUUUUAUCAAUUAAAAUUUAAUUAUUAUUAAUCAUUAUUGAUGCUGUAUAUAAAAAAGAAAAGAGUCAAUUAAAUUAAACCGUGCUUUAUGAGUGUAAAAUAGUAGACCACCACCUCUGCAUAUGUAGUGUGAACUGUUAGUACUUGAUUCUUAAUUUUUCAUGUUUUUGAUUGUGAGUUCCUAAUAGCUAAAUAAUUUGAGUGUUAGCUCUUGUUUGACCUCAUGUGUAACAUAAAUGGUAAUAGGUGUUUUUUAUGUGAUGUAUGUGUUAUCAUGUGCAAAUAAAAGUUACUGUGCUUAAAAUAUUGUCUUUAUUUGAGUAUCACAUUCAUAAGCUAGUUGAAAGCAUAACAUAUGCUAAGCAUUCCUUUUUUUUUUUUUUUUCAAUUUUUUUCAGAACUUUUUCUACAAGAAAGGAUUACUUGUGUGAAAGUACAAAAUUACAUCAAUAUGAACAAAAGCAAAAUCUCUUUAAACAAUUAAGUCAUUUAUUUGUUCACAGAUAUUUUGUUUAAAAUAUAUUAGGAAUAUUUAUUUACUUAUGUGUAGACUCAACUUAUUUAUUUUCCUUUUGAAGAAGUUAUACUAAUUUGCCAAAGCUGUAUAGUUCCACCCAAAAGUCUUCAACUAAUUGCCUAUUUUGAUAUUUAUAGCAAAAGAACAUUUUACCAAAGCAGAUUAAGUUGAAAAAUCAGAGAUAAUUAUUUCUUCAAAAAAAAGAAACUUGGAAACUUCAAAUUAAACAAGACUCAAUAAAAUAUUUCUCAUUUAUUAAUAACCCUACAUGAAAAAAAUGUACGCUCUAAAUAAUUUUAUAAUUAUUUACGGUACAAGUUUCCCCAACCCCCCAAUGUCUAUUUGAAAUUUUGAAAACGUGUGAAAGUAAAAUUUGAAGAUUAAUUUUCUGCCCUGGAAAACGCACAAGUUUCACUUAUAAAAUUAGCAAAAUAAGUGAUUUUGUGAGGUGAAGGAGAAAUAAGCUGUCUAUUCUAUUAGAUUGGUGAUUUAAUUGAAAAAGAUAUGCGUCACCUUUUUUUUUAUUUAAUAUUUAAAUUCGUGUUACAUUGUACGCACGGCGCUUUCCCGACCGAUUUCCGUCAAGUCACGGCGCGAGAGAAACUGGCCUCAUUUUGACCACGUGACUCGCCCGUGAGCAGGCCUUCCAGAUAUAGGGGGCGUUGUUCGAACCCGAGGCCCUCCGGCUCCGAAUCCGACACUCUACCGAUCGGGCUACCACGGCCCCUCUGUAAAUUUUAUGGGAAAAAAUUUGGCCUUGUAUAGUAAAACACCAUUCUAUUGAGGGGUAUUCUCCGCAAAUUUUACAGUUUUGCACAACCAACCCAGCUGCCGGUAAAAAACCGUAAUUUUUACGGAAUUUUUUUUACAUUAUGCAUUUAAAAAAAUGGAACACAAAAUUCAC